rnacentral:rRNA from 1 species
UUGAUUAUGACGUACUUGUACUGAUUGAGAUUUUAACACGAAGUGAGUGGCGAACGGGUGAGUAACACGUGGGUAACCUGCCCAGAAGUAGGGGAUAACACCUGGAAACAGAUGCUAAUACCGUAUAACAGAGAAAACCGCAUGGUUUUCUUUUAAAAGAUGGCUCUGCUAUCACUUCUGGAUGGACCCGCGGCGUAUUAGCUAGUUGGUGAGGUAAAGGCUCACCAAGGCAGUGAUACGUAGCCGACCUGAGAGGGUAAUCGGCCACAUUGGGACUGAGACACGGCCCAGACUCCUACGGGAGGCAGCAGUAGGGAAUCUUCCACAAUGGACGCAAGUCUGAUGGAGCAACGCCGCGUGAGUGAAGAAGGGUUUCGGCUCGUAAAGCUCUGUUGUUAAAGAAGAACGUGGGUAAGAGUAACUGUUUACCCAGUGACGGUAUUUAACCAGAAAGCCACGGCUAACUACGUGCCAGCAGCCGCGGUAAUACGUAGGUGGCAAGCGUUAUCCGGAUUUAUUGGGCGUAAAGCGAGCGCAGGCGGUCUUUUAAGUCUAAUGUGAAAGCCUUCGGCUCAACCGAAGAAGUGCAUUGGAAACUGGGAGACUUGAGUGCAGAAGAGGACAGUGGAACUCCAUGUGUAGCGGUGAAAUGCGUAGAUAUAUGGAAGAACACCAGUGGCGAAGGCGGCUGUCUGGUCUGCAACUGACGCUGAGGCUCGAAAGCAUGGGUAGCGAACAGGAUUAGAUACCCUGGGUAGUCCAUGCCGUAAACGAUGAUUACUAAGUGUUGGGAGGGUUUCCCCCCCUUCAGGUGCUGCAAGCUAACGCCAUUAAAGUAAUCCCGCCUGGGGGAGUACGACCCGCGAGGGUUGAAAACUCAAAAAGAAUUGGACGGGGGGC